rnacentral:lncRNA from 1 species
UCCAGGAGAACCCGAACGACCAGCUGUACCCGCUGUUCCAGUACUUCGAGAACUGGUGCCAGGAUGAGAACCGCCACGGCGAUUUCUUCACCGCGUGCCUCAAGGCGAGGCCGGAGUUCAUCAACGACUGGGAGGCGAAGCUCUGGGCGCGAUUCUUCUGCCUCUCCGUGUACGUCACCAUGUACCUCAACGAUCACAGCCGCACGGAGUUCUACGAGUCCAUCGGCCUCGACACGACGCAGUUUAACAUGCACGUGAUCCACCAGACGAACAAGACGACCGCGCAGAUCUUCCCGCAGGUGAUCGACACGUACAACCCGAAGUUCAAGGAGUACCUCGACAACCUCAGAGACAUCAACGUGAAGCUUUCCAAGGCGCAAUCGCCGAUGGAGAAGGCGCCGCUGAUCGCCGGGUUCGCCGCGAACCUUCUCGGCGUCGCGUUGAUGAAGCCGGUCGACUCCGGGAGCAUCGAUUUCGUCGAGGACGUCAACUCCCCGGCGUUCAUGUACUAAGCGACGACGAGACGAACGAACGAUGAGAGGUUGAGAGGUUGUUUGUGAUGAAGAGGGCGGAGGAUUAACGGAGGAGGAAGAAGCUUCGCGAGGGAGCGACGGACGACGCGAGGGACGGACGGAUGGACGUUGAUGACUGAUCUGAUCUGAUCUGAUGAUGAUUGAUUUUUUGGGGGGCGACGGUCCAGCGCGAGCGACCGUCGCCCGGGUGGCGAUUGUGAUGACGUGACUCGACGACGACGCUCGAGAGGCGCCCGCGAGGGCGCGGACCCGGGGAUGGAGUCGCGGCGUCUCGAGAAGGACGACGACGACGACGGACGGCGGCGGCGGC